AUUUCUUGAAAGCCAGCUGCACCAAUUGGUAAUCGAUGGAUACCAGCAGCUCCGCCCAUGGAACCGCCAUCGCAGCCUCUUCGUAUUCCCCGUGCCGCUCAAACCGCUGGAAGUCCAAGGUGUUCCUGAGCUUUAGAGGCAACGACACACGCACUAACUACACAGACAAUCUCUCCAUGCGUUACGCUAUGCCGGAAGCAACACGUUUAUAGACUACCAGCUCAGAAGGGGGGAUAAUAUACAGAGGGAACUUGACCGAAAAAUCGAAGGGUCCAGAAUCGCCAUCGUCGUCUUCUCCAAGGGGUACGCGGAGUCCCAGUGGUGCUUGAGGGAGCUGGCCAAGAUCAUGAGGUGCCGAGAAGAUCAAGAGGGCAAAAUAGUCUAUCCAAUGUUCUAUGUCGUUGUGAGGAAACAGAGUGGUGGUUUUGAGGAAGUUCGGAAGCAUGCAAGUGAUGAAAAUCCAAACGAACAAUCAGUGGAGAAAGGAUCUUAAGGCUUCUUUCCGGCGGACGGGCGUGAAGGGUUGUUUAUUGAGGAAAUUGCUAGGGACAUCAGAGGACUACUGAUAACAACAGACUUAAAACAAGCCAAGUGCCCAGUUGGAAUGGAUUUUCUUGUGCAAUAGUUGAGUACUGAAUGCUUAGAUGUUGGAGAUUUGCUUGAUGUUCAAAUAAAUGGAAUUUGGGGUUUGUGCAGUAUAGGUGAAACAAUACUUGCGAGAGCUAUCUGUAGCAAAUAUCAUCGUUGCUUUGGUGGUCAAUGUUUCCUUCAAAAGGUGAGGAGUAAAAAAGAAAAGUAUGGUUGCUCUGCAAGAACAACUUCUUCGAGGUGUUUUGAAACGGCUGGACAUUAAUGUGAGCGGUGUUGCCGAAGGAACCAAAGAGAGAGAGAAAAGAUUUGGAAGCAUGAAGGUGCUUGUCGUCGUUGAUGGCAUAGAUGAUGCUGACCAGUUAGAUGAAUUGGCGAUAAAACAGGAAUCGACUAUGUUUGUUAAGAUUCCAGCCACCCAAAUCUGCAGAAGCCUUAAGAUCCUUUCUCCACUGCUCGACCUCAUUUGGAUCUUCAUCCCUUUCAUGCUUCCAAAAUGCAUUUCCAAAAAUACCACUAUUUCCUCACUUGAGAAGGGUCGACGUCGUACAAUAUUGGAUAGACUACUUUCCCCUCUUGAUCUUCUUGGCACCUCAUGAUCUUGGCUAGCCUCUUUGAGAAGACAGACAACAGUAUUCCUCGACCCUUUGAUUUCUUGGUCAAGUUCACUCUGUGUGUUUUCCCCUCUUCUGAGCUGGUAGUCAAUGAGCUUGUGGAUUCCAGCAUUGUAUAAUGCAAUGGAGAGGUGGUCUGCGAAGGUAGUGUGUGUGUCGUCGCCUCUAAAGCUCAGGAACACCUCGUACUUCCAGUGGUUUGAGUGGCACAGGGAAGACGAAGAGGCUGCGACAUCGGUUACAUGGGCGGAGCUGAUGGUAUCCAUCGAUAAUUUGUACUAGUGUUGGGAGAAUAGAGGAGUGCAGCAGGCUAUGCGGCUUGGCUUUCAGAUAGCCAAAGUCAAGUCAAACUUCAUCUUCUAAGUAUUAUAGAGAAACAAAAUGCGUGGAUUUAUAUGAAUAUGCACGCGUAUGGCAUUGCAUAUAUUUAUUACAACAUAUGGUAACACUUAAUUUUUUAUGUGUGAAGUAAAAUAUAUGAAUUUCUUACAUUGCCUUGUU